rnacentral:rRNA from 1 species
GACGAACGCUGGCGGCGUGCCUAAUACAUGCAAGUCGAGCGGACUUUCAAGAAGCUUGCUUUUUGAAAGUUAGCGGCGGACGGGUGAGUAACACGUGGGCAACCUGCCUGCAAGACGGGGAUAACUCCGGGAAACCGGGGCUAAUACCGGAUAAUAUCUUCCUUCGCAUGAAGGAAGGUUGAAAGGCGGCGCACGCUGCCGCUUGCAGAUGGGCCCGCGGCGCAUUAGCUAGUUGGUGAGGUAACGGCUCACCAAGGCGACGAUGCGUAGCCGACCUGAGAGGGUGAUCGGCCACACUGGGACUGAGACACGGCCCAGACUCCUACGGGAGGCAGCAGUAGGGAAUCUUCCGCAAUGGACGAAAGUCUGACGGAGCAACGCCGCGUGAGCGAAGAAGGUCUUCGGAUCGUAAAGCUCUGUUGUCAGGGAAGAACAAGUACCGUUCGAACAGGGCGGUACCUUGACGGUACCUGACCAGAAAGCCACGGCUAACUACG